UUUAUGGAGAGUUUGAUCCUGGCUCAGGAUGAACGCUGGCGGCGUGCCUAAUACAUGCAAGUCGAGCGAACGGACGAGAAGCUUGCUUCUCUGAUGUUAGCGGCGGACGGGUGAGUAACACGUGGAUAACCUACCUAUAAGACUGGGAUAACUUCGGGAAACCGGAGCUAAUACCGGAUAAUAUUUUGAACCGCAUGAUUCAAAAGUGAAAGACGGUCUUGCUGUCACUUAUAGAUGGAUCCGCGCUGCAUUAGCUAGUUGGUAAGGUAACGGCUUACCAAGGCAACGAUGCAUAGCCGACCUGAGAGGGUGAUCGGCCACACUGGAACUGAGACACGGUCCAGACUCCUACGGGAGGCAGCAGUAGGGAAUCUUCCGCAAUGGGCGAAAGCCUGACGGAGCAACGCCGCGUGAGUGAUGAAGGUCUUCGGAUCGUAAAACUCUGUUAUUAGGGAAGAACAUAUGUGUAAGUAACUGUGCACAUCUUGACGGUACCUAAUCAGAAAGCCACGGCUAACUACGUGCCAGCAGCCGCGGUAAUACGUAGGUGGCAAGCGUUAUCCGGAAUUAUUGGGCGUAAAGCGCGCGUAGGCGGUUUUUUAAGUCUGAUGUGAAAGCCCACGGCUCAACCGUGGAGGGUCAUUGGAAACUGGAAAACUUGAGUGCAGAAGAGGAAAGUGGAAUUCCAUGUGUAGCGGUGAAAUGCGCAGAGAUAUGGAGGAACACCAGUGGCGAAGGCGACUUUCUGGUCUGUAACUGACGCUGAUGUGCGAAAGCGUGGGGAUCAAACAGGAUUAGAUACCCUGGUAGUCCACGCCGUAAACGAUGAGUGCUAAGUGUUAGGGGGUUUCCGCCCCUUAGUGCUGCAGCUAACGCAUUAAGCACUCCGCCUGGGGAGUACGACCGCAAGGUUGAAACUCAAAGGAAUUGACGGGGACCCGCACAAGCGGUGGAGCAUGUGGUUUAAUUCGAAGCAACGCGAAGAACCUUACCAAAUCUUGACAUCCUUUGACAACUCUAGAGAUAGAGCCUUCCCCUUCGGGGGACAAAGUGACAGGUGGUGCAUGGUUGUCGUCAGCUCGUGUCGUGAGAUGUUGGGUUAAGUCCCGCAACGAGCGCAACCCUUAAGCUUAGUUGCCAUCAUUAAGUUGGGCACUCUAAGUUGACUGCCGGUGACAAACCGGAGGAAGGUGGGGAUGACGUCAAAU
rnacentral:rRNA from 1 species